UACGAAGGGGGCUAGCGUUGUUCGGAAUUACUGGGCGUAAAGGGCGCGUAGGCGGUGUGUCAAGUCAGGCGUGAAAGCCCCGGGCUCAACCUGGGAACCGCGCUUGAGACUGGCACGCUCGAGUUCGGGAGAGGAUGGUGGAAUUCCCAGUGUAGAGGUGAAAUGCGUAGAUAUCGGAAGGAACACCUGUGGCGAAAGCGGCUCACUGGACCAUUACUGACGCUGAGGCACGAAAGCUAGGGGAGCAAACAGG
rnacentral:rRNA from 1 species